AGUGAACGCUGGCGGUAGGCCUAACACAUGCAAGUCGAACGGCAGCACAGUAAGAGCUUGCUCUUACGGGUGGCGAGUGGCGGACGGGUGAGGAAUACAUCGGAAUCUACUUUUUCGUGGGGGAUAACGUAGGGAAACUUACGCUAAUACCGCAUACGACCUACGGGUGAAAGCAGGGGAUCUUCGGACCUUGCGCGAUUGAAUGAGCCGAUGUCGGAUUAGCUAGUUGGCUGGGUAAAGGCCCACCAAGGCGACGAUCCGUAGCUGGUCUGAGAGGAUGAUCAGCCACACUGGAACUGAGACACGGUCCAGACUCCUACGGGAGGCAGCAGUGGGGAAUAUUGGACAAUGGGCGCAAGCCUGAUCCAGCCAUACCGCGUGGGUGAAGAAGGCCUUCGGGUUGUAAAGCCCUUUUGUUGGGAAAGAAAAGCAGCAGGUUAAUACCCCGCUGUUCUGACGGUACCCAAAGAAUAAGCACCGGCUGACUUCGUG
rnacentral:rRNA from 1 species